ACUGUCCCAAUGAUAACUUCCUAUCCGAGAACCAUUUCCAGUCACUUGAGUCAUGCGUCAUUUACUUCCUGUCCUCUGUCCUUUUAAAGUGCAGUUUGACAACAUACCAGGCACAACAGUAACAUCUGGGGGCUGCUUUGCUUCUAACGUAAGUCAAAUAGCCCAGCAUGGAAAAUACCUAGGAAAAAAGUGGGAUAUGCAAAGCAAACCUCAAAAAAAAAAAAAAAAAAAGACAAAAGCUGGUGGGCUGGCCACGGUGUCACAAAUGAAGUCUCCAGUGGCUUCAUCAUAACAAGGUUUGUAUAAGUUGAUAUUUGAAAUUUGGGAUUUCUCCUCUUAAAUUACAGAUAUCUCAUUAACACAGGCUCAGAAAUCAUUUUUUCUCCCUGU
rnacentral:lncRNA from 10 species